rnacentral:lncRNA from 1 species
AGAAGACAACAUAUAUAAUAACAGAGUGUAUAGAUAUAAAUGUCACAAUAAUCAGAAUAUUUAUUAUAUAGCGGAAGUCUUACAAAAUAAAUUAUAAAUAUAAAAGGAUCUAAAAUACAUCCUUGGCGCCAGAAAGUCAACUGGGAGACGCCACCUAGAUCGAAUCGAACUCCUCGUUGUCUGGCUCCUUUUGAACCACCUGUUCUUCUCCUGUGGGGAGCGUGAGACAGCAAGGGUGAGCUCACACAUGUUCAUCGCUCAACAAGUUGUGGGGAAUAAUGUGGCAUGAACUCACCAAAGGUGGGAGUUCAUGUAAUGUGUAAGGCUGAUCAACAAUAGGGGUUAAAGCUGAGCAUUUCUUUUAAUAAGUUGGUCAAAUUUUAUUAGCAAUUACUAAGUAAAAGUAAAUACAAAACCAUAAUAAAUAAUAGAACAAAAUUAAUAACAAAAUCUCAUGCAAUUCAAAUGACAAAUUGAGUUUAAGUUCUAUAAAUU